AUUCUUAAUAUUAACCAUUAACUGUUUAAGCUCUUCUACACUUGUGGGGGCAAAAAAGAAAGAUUCGGCUACUACCACAUUGCUGAGAUAGCUCCUGGGAUCUAUUUUUUGUGAGAGAUUGGCUGCAAGGUUACUAGCAAUAUCACAGUAGAAGGAAUUGAGGACAUUGGAAUCUAAGAAAAUGCAGCAUUUCCGGAAAUGUUCCAAAUGGAGAGCUAUGCUGAAUGUGACAAAUCCAGGAAUACUUAUUGUUUAUUUGAUUUUAAGAUAGAGCCUAAAGAUGUUAAAUCAAAUUUAUGGAAAAACUUAGAGAACUUCAAAACCGACCCUUUAAAACUAGAUCGAACAAUUCUUAAUAGAAUGAUAUGUGUUCCACGACUUAAGCCUUCGGACACUUAUGGUUUAGAUACAUUAAAAGAGGAACUAAAGGAUCCAAAUAUUUCUAUCAAAGUAUUGUCUAUAGAGUGCGAAAAAGAGUACGAUUUUUUCUACUUCAAGGCUUUCUUUUAUUGUUCAGUUCUGUUAUAUGUAGCAUUGGUAUUCCAGUGUACUUGGUAUCAUCACAAAAGAAAUAAUGGUAUUAUUAUGCAAAAUAGUUGGUGUGGCAGAUGGUAUACAACAUUCUCCAUAAUUCAAAAUGUCCAGAAGCUAAAAGAAGACAACAAAAACUCAGAUUUUCAAAGGCUAAAAUGUAUUCAAGGUAUUAGAGUAUUUAAUACAAUGGUAGUAGUAUUUUGGCAUACUGUACUCAGCCUCCACCAACUUUAUGUUAUAGAUGUUGAUGAGUUGGAAAAAAACUAUGAAAACUCGCUGUUCUUUUAUUUGAUGUUUUUGGGAGCUUUUUGCGUGCAGACAUUUUUCUUUAUUUCAGCUUUCUUGCUCACCAAUCAAAUUUACGAGUUAGAAAGAAAGCAUGGAUUUUUCAGCCUUAAACACUGUUACAUCUUGAUGGUUAACAGAUUUUUCAGGUUUUUACCAACAUUACUAAUCACCGUGGCUGCUACUAAAUUAGGACUUUAUGAUAAUUCACCACACACAGUUAGAGCCAGAAAUAUGUGCCUGCCAGUAUGUCAGCAAUAUUGGUGGUACACUGUAUUUCAAAUAAAUUUUUUGUUGACUUUCGAUAAAAUAUGCACUCCAGGUCUCUGGUACCUAUCUGUGGACACGGCAUACUACACUUUAACCCUUAUAAUAUUAUAUAUUAUUCUAAAGUUUAAAUUAUCACACUUUAAAGUAAUUGGAUUGGCUAUUGUGGGUGUCUCUUUGUAUUUUGGAAUCUACAUAUACAUCAACGAUUUCGAGUUCCUGUUUCAGCCUUUUCCUGAGGCGGUUAAAACCUUGAUGCAACACCCAACGAUCAGGAACGUCUAUGUUCCACCAAUGGCAAGCUGGACCAGCAGUUUGUUUGGCGUUAUUUUGGGUUACGUUUAUUUCAAUAAUAAGCAAAUUAAUCAUUUUGAAUGGCAUAAGGUUUUGGAAAUAUUAUGGUGGUUGAUUUUCACAUGUGUGCCACCCUUUGCUGUAUAUCUAUCUACAUUCUCAUAUAAUGGGCUCUGUAAUGCAUUUUUGUCAGCCACCAUUAAGGCCCUCUUUGUUUUUCCAUUGGGGAUUGGUAUACUAGGCAUGGUUUUUGGCUUGGGAGUAAGACGUGACAACGCUUUAAAAUUUCGCCCGCAUUCUUUUCGUAGACACAGAUCCGAUGGUCAAACAUUAUACAAAGUUGCCACUGGAGUGGAACCACCCCAAGAUAUCUUUUUACCUCUAUUAUCAUCCAAUGCUACUUCAGAAUUUGAAACAAUUUCACAAACAUCUAAUCCAAAUAUAGAUACUACUAAUGAGAAUGAACAAAAUAGCUCCAUCAAAGCAAAAGAUAAUGACUACUGUAUUGCAUUAUCUGCAGAAUCGUAUUCUAACGAAGAAAUUGUUGACUUACAACAGAAAUGGAGUACUUUUAAUGAUGAAAUAUUAAACACAUUAAAAGAAAAUCCUAUGACAUUUGUUCCAGCAGUGCAAUCAUUUCUAUCCAAUAAGGACAAAUAUGCAAAAAGUGAGAACUCGCUUGUAUCCGGUCUAUUUACAGUAUAUCUACAUAUCAAAACUAUACCACUUUGAAAACCCAUAAGCAUGUUAGGAAAAUGAAAGGCAAGAAAAUACCAGUGCAACCAACAGCUGUCGGUAGGAGAAAGUCAAAGAUAAGCGGCAAGAGAAGACUUACAUUUGGAACUUCAAGCAAGCAUUAGAAAAAAGCUCCCCACAACUUAAGUAAAUGCGUGGAACAAAAUAUAGGAUUAGGAGCUGACAAGCGCAAAAAAUAAAUUUUAUAUACCCUAUACAUUGUAUAAUUUAGUAAUUCCAUUUCUGGCUUAUUAUAAUUUACAUUAUAUGUAAAUAUAUAUACCUAAUAAUGUA
rnacentral:misc_RNA from 1 species